ensembl:snRNA U6 U6 spliceosomal RNA
GUGCACUCCAGCAGGACAUAGACUAAAAUUGGAAUGAUACAGAGAAGAUUAACGUGGCCCCUACACAAGGGUGAAACACAAAUUCGUUUGCACCCCAAUGUUUGU